UUCAAAUUAAAUGAUACCAACAGACCAUAUUUGAUAACAUUCUUAAUCGCAAGAUCCCUUGGCCCCAUGUUCCUGAAGAAAUGAGUUCUGAAGCACAAGAUCUUAUUGAUCGAUUGUUAACUGAAGAUCCUAGUCAGAGACUUGGAGCUGGAGGGACAUCAGAGGUAAAGCAACAUGUUUUCUUCAAGGAUAUAAACUGGGACACACUUGCCAGGCAGAAGGCUGCAUUUGUCCCUGCCUCUGAGAGUGCUCUAGAUACCAGUUAUUUCACAAGUCGCUAUUCAUGGAGUACUCCUGAUGGCCUUGUGUAUCCAGCAAGUGAUAUUGAGGAUUCUAGUGAUGCAGACAGUUUAAGUGGCAGCAGUAGUUGCGUGAGCAAUCGUCAAGAUGAACUGCAGGGGGAUGAAUGUGGGGGUUUCGCCGAGUUUGAGUCAGGCUUAUCUGUCAAUUACUCUUCCAGCAAUUUCUCCUUUAAGAAUCUCUCCCAGCUUGCGUCUCUCAACUACGAUCUUCUCACCAAGGGAUAUAAAGAUGACCCACCUACAAAUUCUAGCACAUAACUAUCUCACCAUUUUGUCCUCAUUCCAGAAUUUGGUUUUCGACAUGUGACCUGAGCCAUUUUUGUCUGCAUAUGCACCUUCUUGUUUAGACCUAGAGGCUCAAGAGCUGGUCCACGAUGUGCUCUUUACUUAUUAAGUAACAAAUCAACACUGGGAUUUCAACCUUUUGGGGUUUAUGUUGUGUAGGUAUUGGGGACUGUAAAGUACUUUAAAAUGCAUACUAGUGGUGGUUGUUCACAUUUUUCUGUGUUGGUGGUGGGGGGUUGCUUAUGUAAUUUCCUUUCAAAAUUUUGAGAUAUAGUGAAGGCCGUCUUCUGAUCCUCUCUCUUGGAGCAUUUUCACUUUACCAUAGUUGAUCUAAAGUGAUUACCUUUCUCACUGGGCCUGUAUCAUUUAAAGUAUUUGACUUUAUGAGAGCUCGCCAUAGUCAUUUGGGGUUU